rfam:Shewanella baltica OS195, complete genome.
CGUAGGCUAGAGGUGAGUUGGCAUGUGAUUAAGCAGAAGUCAGCAGACGGCAUGUAGCCCAACGCCCAUCGUAAUGGAUGGGACACGGUGAAAGCC